rnacentral:rRNA from 1 species
GGACUUGCCCCUUCGGGGACAAGUUUAGUGGCGGACGGGUGAGUAACGCGUGAGCAACCUACCUUUCAGUGGGGGACAACAGUUGGAAACGACUGCUAAUACCGCAUAACACUUAUUUAGGGCAUCUUAAAUAAGUCAAAGAUUUAUUGCUGGAAGAUGGGCUCGCGUCUGAUUAGCUAGUUGGUGGGGUAACGGCCCACCAAGGCGACGAUCAGUAGCCGGACUGAGAGGUUGAACGGCCACAUUGGGACUGAGAUACGGCCCAGACUCCUACGGGAGGCAGCAGUGGGGAAUAUUGGGCAAUGGGGGAAACCCUGACCCAGCAACGCCGCGUGAAGGAAGAAGGCCUUCGGGUUGUAAACUUCUUUUACCAGGGACGAAGGACGUGACGGUACCUGGAGAAAAAGCCACGGCUAACUACGUGCCAGCAGCCGCGGUAAUACGUAGGUGGCAAGCGUUGUCCGGAUUUACUGGGUGUAAAGGGCGUGUAGGCGGAGCUGCAAGUCAGAUGUGAAAUCUCCGGGCUUAACCCGGAAACUGCAUUUGAAACUGUAGUCCUUGAGUAUCGGAGAGGCAAGCGGAAUUCCUAGUGUAGCGGUGAAAUGCGUAGAUAUUAGGAGGAACACCAGUGGCGAAGGCGGCUUGCUGGACGACAACUGACGCUGAGGCGC